AGGCUAAUGGAGCACCCACAGGGUCAUACAUCUCUAAAAACCACCAUUACUGCACAAGGUGAGUAACUCUCUUCUUCAAAUGGUGCCCACGUGGGUGCUCCACUGUGGGUGAGUAUAAAGUAGUGGUCAAAUCAUGGAAGCGAGUUUGGAGCCCUGCCACGGUCACCGAGUAUAGCACCGCCUGAGUGACAGCCAUAGAUGAUGUAAUAGAGGAUGCAAGAGUGUAAUGCUUUGCAAAUGUGUGGUCUGAUGAUCAAGUGGCUGCUUUGCAGAUAUCCUGGUGAGGUACCUUUUUGAGCAAGGUGGCUGUAGAGGCCAUGGCCCUAGUCGAAUGGGCACUGAUGGUGUCUGGUGGCUUUUUGUUGUGGAUGGUGUAAUGUGUGGAUAUAUGAAGAAAUCCACUUUGAAAUCCUCUGAGAGGAGACAGCUUGUCCUUUGGAACGCUUAAUGAAGGAAAGGAAGAGUCUGGGAGAUAUUCUCCAGGAUUUUGUGCGAUCAAUGUAGAAAGCAAGAUUCCUGCGGACAUCGAGGGUGUGCCAUGCAUCCUGAGAUGGAUCGGCGUGCAGGUUGGGGAAGAACACAGGGAAGUGAAUGGGUUCAUUAAUGUGGAAAGGAAAGGGGACCUUUGGGAGGAAUUUAGGGUGGGGCCGAAGCACCACUCUGUCCUUACUGAAAAUUGUAUAACGAGGGUCAGCCAUUAGUGCAUCAAGCUCCCCAACUCUCUUGCUGCAGAUUACUGCAACCAGAAAAGCAAGAUUGGUGACUGGGUUAGAGAGGAAAGAGUUGCCAUCAGUGGUGCGACAAAAGGCUGCUAUGGCUGCUGCAUGUACUUUGAUCGUAUUGAAAGACAGGCCAGACUCCCUUAGAUGCAACAGGUAGUCCAAUAUGAGGCGAGCAGGGGGUAGUUUCAGGAGUCAUGGGGUGGUUAUGUUUGAGCCACUUGGAGAAUCUAGUCUAUUUGUAAAGGUAAUUUUUUCUGGUGGACUCUCUCCUGCUGUUGAUUAAUAUUGGUUUUACUCGUUCUGAACAGUAUUUUUGGCAUCUUGGAGCCAUGAAGGAACCAUCCAUGGAGGUAGAGUUUGUGUAGUUCAGGACGGAGAAUUCUGCCACGAUGCUGAGAAAAGAUUGUGUUGAAGGGGAAAGGUAUAUGGAUCUGCUACUGUCACUCUGUGGAGGAACAGCACUGCACAGAGAAAUUUGCUGAUGAGUGACAAGCUUCUUGCAGCCUGUUCACAGGCACAUUUCCACACAGGCCAAAGACAACCUGGGACAACUUGUGCAGACUAAGACAGAGUAACAGUUCUCCAGUACCACACUGGGUGGUUGGGAGCGGGGCAGAGCACUAUCUGCUGCCAGAAGUAACCAGCUGCCAGUGUCCCACAGACACAGGAAUUCCUCAUGGGCAUGGAUGCUCCUGAGCCCAGCCACUUCCUCCUGUAGUUCUCUCACCUGCUUCCUGAGACAUUCCACCAGCAGGGAUGGUUCUCCCUGCCUGAUUUUCUGCAAUAAAGAAGCAAAUGAAUCAAGCACAAACUUCACCUCAUUUUCUUGUGUAUGUACUCAACCCCAAUUAUAAAGGUGGAUGCCUAACUUUUGAAGAUGCCGCUACUGCCAUGGCAUGGACAUCUCAGAAUCAAUCCUCGAGAACGGAAGUCAUAAUACAUUUUUGGACUGGAAUGAAACCAUUUAAUUAAUACAUGUUUGCUGAUGAUGUUUUGAACGAAGUCACUCCCCUGAAUUGGUGGAAAUCAUUGGCCAGGCACCAUGAAACAGAGUUCCUUCAGUUGCUAAGCCAACUUUUCACAGCAGUAGCUUCCUCUGCAGGCACAGAGAAAAUAUUUUCAUCAUUUGGUAUUAUUCACUCAAAUCUAAAAUCAACUGGGAGCUGAAAAAGCAGGAAAACUCGUAUUUCUGUUUCAGUCUAUGAAUAAAAAUGACAGUGAAAGUGAGGAAGAUGAGAGCUAGUUAUAGACAUUUUAACACCACCAUACAUUUAGUGUUAUGAUAACUUGUCAGAAUUAAUAAAAUUUUCAAAUUUUAAAAGGGUUUAAGGUUGGUUGAAGGUUAAAGUUGUCAACCGGCAAAUCAAGAGACUGCUGCAACUGCAAAUGUGAAACAUGUAUAUAACAUUUAAAUUCUGUUUAAUAAGUGCUAUUGUGUAUGAGCGUGUAAUUCAGUUAACAUUCCCAAUAUGCCGCUGCAUCUCCAGCAUAAUACUCCACUUGAGUAUUAUGUACUAGUUCUAAAAUAAAUAAAAAUCAUGUUAUCUAAAAAAAGUUACACAAUACACACCCCUCAAUGUUGUAAAUUGCUGUAAAUGUUGUAAAUAAACAUAUUGUA